AGAACGAACGCUGGCGGCAGGCUUAACACAUGCAAGUCGAACGCAUCUCUUCGGAGAUGAGUGGCAGACGGGUGAGUAACGCGUGGGAACGUACCCUUUGGUUCGGGAUAACCCGGGGGAAACUCGGGCUAAUACCGGAUAAGCCGGAAACGGGAAAGGUUUACUGCCGAAGGAUCGGCCCGCGUCGGAUUAGCUAGUUGGUGUGGUAACGGCGCACCAAGGCGACGAUCCGUAGCUGGUCUGAGAGGAUGAUCAGCCACACUGGGACUGAGACACGGCCCAGACUCCUACGGGAGGCAGCAGUGGGGAAUAUUGGACAAUGGGCGCAAGCCUGAUCCAGCCAUGCCGCGUGAGUGAAGAAGGCCCUAGGGUUGUAAAGCUCUUUCAGCGGGGACGAUAAUGACGGUACCCGCAGAAGAAGCCCCGGCUAACUUCGUGCCAGCAGCCGC
rnacentral:rRNA from 1 species